rnacentral:rRNA from 1 species
GGAGGAAUAUUGCACAAUGGGCGAAAGCCUGAUGCAGCAACGCCGCGUGGAGGACGAAGGCCCUCGGGUCGUAAACUCCUUUUUGGGGAGACGAGCAAGGACGGUAUCCCCCGAAUCAGCCACGGCUAACUACGUGCCAGCAGCCGCGGUAAAACGUAGGUGGCGAGCGUUAUCCGGAUUCAUUGGGCGUAAAGAGCUUGUAGGUGGCCCUGUAAGUUGGACGUGAAAGGCCCGGGCUUAACUCGGGGAGGCCGUUCAAUACUGCGGGGCUGGAGGGCGUCAGAGGGGAGUGGAAUUCCGGGUGUAGCAGUGAAAUGCGUAGAUAUCCGGAGGAACACCCGUGGCGAAGGCGGCUCCCUGGGGCGCCCCUGACACUGAGAAGCGAAAGCCAGGGGAGCAAACGG